rnacentral:rRNA from 1 species
UGGGGAAUUUUGGACAAUGGGCGAAAGCCUGAUCCAGCAAUGCCGCGUGUGUGAAGAAGGCCUUCGGGUUGUAAAGCACUUUUGUCCGGAAAGAAAUCCUUGGCUCUAAUACAGUCGGGGGAUGACGGUACCGGAAGAAUAAGCACCGGCUAACUACGUGCCAGCAGCCGCGGUAAUACGUAGGGUGCAAGCGUUAAUCGGAAUUACUGGGCGUAAAGCGUGCGCAGGCGGUUUGCUAAGACCGAUGUGAAAUCCCCGGGCUCAACCUGGGAACUGCAUUGGUGACUGGCAGGCUAGAGUAUGGCAGAGGGGGGUAGAAUUCCACGUGUAGCAGUGAAAUGCGUAGAGAUGUGGAGGAAUACCGAUGGCGAAGGCAGCCCCCUGGGCCAAUACUGACGCUCAUGCACGAAAGCGUGGGGAGCAAACAGGAUUAGAUACCCUGGUAGUCCACGCCCUAAACGAUGUCAACUAGUUGUUGGGGAUUCAUUCCUUAGUAACGUAGCUAACGCGUGAAGUUGACCGCCUGGGGGAUACGGUCGCAAGAUU